CCUACGGGAGGCAGCAGUGAGGAAUAUUGGUCAAUGGACGGAAGUCUGAACCAGCCAUGCCGCGUGCAGGAAGACGGCUCUAUGAGUUGUAAACUGCUUUUGUACAAGGGUAAACCUGAAUACGUGUAUUCCGCUGAAAGUACUGUACGAAUAAGGAUCGGCUAACUCCGUGCCAGCAGCCGCGGUAAUACGGAGGAUCCAAGCGUUAUCCGGAUUUAUUGGGUUUAAAGGGUGCGUAGGCGGAUUGAUAAGUUAGAGGUGAAAUGUCCGAGCUUAACUCGGGAACUGCCUCUAAUACUGUUGAUCUAGAGAGUAGAUGCGGGAGGCGGAAUGUAUGGUGUAGCAGUGAAAUGCUUAGAGAUCAUACAGAACACCGAUGGCGAAGGCAGCUUACCAAGCUAUAUCUGACGUUGAGGCACGAAAGCGUGGGGAGCAAACAGGAUUAGAUACCCUUGUAGUC
rnacentral:rRNA from 1 species